rnacentral:tRNA from 1 species
GGCCGGAUAGCAUAGUGGUGAUGCACGGGACUGCAAAUCCUGUUACGCCGGUUCGAUUCCGGCUCCGGCCUCCA